UCAGCAUUGCUGCGGUGAAUACGUUCCCGGGCCUUGUACACACCGCCCGUCACACCAUGGGAGUUUGUUGCACCAGAAGCAGGUAGCUUAACCUUCGGGAGGGCGCUUGCCACGGUGUGGCCGAUGACUGGGGUGAAGUCGUAACAAGGUAGCCGUAUCGGAAGGUGCGGCUGGAUCACCUCCUUU
rnacentral:rRNA from 1 species